UACCACAUGCGAAGGAAUAGCAUUAAAUGUGUUGUGAAUGCAGCAACUAUCGCUGUAAAAGCGGCUGGCAUCGGAAGCACUAUACAGCCGCUAUUUGAACCUAAAGCAUCGGCAGCCGAAAACUUUCGGUCAUCUCCGAUAAUUUCCGCGUUUCGCCGAACAACGCCAACACUUCCUGUCGUCACAGCGAGCGAAAAAUGGCUGCCGACAGAGGAGAAGAGAAAAGGUCGCCGAGUGUGCUGGGAUCUGGUGGACGGAUGGGCGAGAUGUCUGACAGUUGUGACCUCCCUACUGUUCCCGAAACUCCGUCGACAGAGAUUAUACAUGGAGUCUGACCAAUACAAAAGUCUUCCAAUGUGCCAGAGUCACCAGCUGUGAUUCUCACACAAUGAGGUCACAGUCUGCAGAAGUGUUCAAGACUUGAGCAACAAGAUGACACAAGUUUCCUGGAUGUGUCUCACUUAGAUGAGACACCGAUCAAGCUUCCAGGAUAGAUGAGAC